AGCAAGUUCAUUGGAUGAGGGCAAUUUAACAAGAGACACAAAAUGAGCCAUCUUAGAAAAUCGAUCCACUAUCAUCAGGAUGACUGUUUUGCCAUUCGAAGGAGGCAUUUCAACAAUAAAAUCCAUGGAUAGAUUGGACCAAGGCCUCUCGGGUAUGGGCAACGGGUGCAACAACCCACAAAGAACCCUAUGAGAAGACUUCAUACUGGCACAAGUAGUACAUGCCCGAACGUAAUCGGUGACAUCCUUGCGUAAGGAAGCCCACCAAAAUUAUCUAGAAACUGCUGUUAAGGUUUUAGAAAUACCAGGAUGUCCAGCAGUUUUGGUGUCAUGAUAUAACGACAUAAUGUCUCGUCUUUCGGGAACGUCAACAAACAGUUUAUCAGCAGGUUUCUCACUG